AGCUUUGUGCAGUGCAGUAUUGUAGCCAACGAGGUUUAUCCAAGGCGUGAAUAUUGCUAAUUGAAAACUUUUCUAUAAAGGAAC
rnacentral:snRNA from 1 species